rnacentral:tRNA from 1 species
GCCCGCGUGGCUCAGUCGGUUAAGCGUCUGACUUCGGCUCAGGUCAUGAUCUCACGGUUCGUGGGUUCGAGCCCCGCAUCGGGCU